GAUCGUGUUUGAUCGCGUCGAGGGUCUGAUAGCUGGCUUGUCCCCCGCCGCAUCGGACUUGGACAAAGGCCUUAUCCCCUCUCCGGGCCUUUGUCCCCAUUUUAGAGCCGCCAUAGCCAGACCUCCAGGCUAUGGCGGCUUUGU
rfam:Rhizobium mesoamericanum STM3625 genomic scaffold, ANZ_1636